rnacentral:rRNA from 1 species
AACGAACGCUGGCGGCAUGCCUAACACAUGCAAGUCGAACGAGACCUUCGGGUCUAGUGGCGCACGGGUGCGUAACGCGUGGGAACCUGCCCUUAGGUUCGGAAUAACUCCCCGAAAGGGGUGCUAAUACCGGAUAAUGUCUUCGGACCAAAGAUUUAUCGCCUUUGGAUGGGCCCGCGUUGGAUUAGCUAGUUGGUAGGGUAAAAGCCUACCAAGGCGACGAUCCAUAGCUGGUCUGAGAGGAUGAUCAGCCACACUGGGACUGAGACACGGCCCAGACUCCUACGGGAGGCAGCAGUGGGGAAUAUUGGACAAUGGGCGAAAGCCUGAUCCAGCAAUGCCGUGUGAGAGAUGAAGGCCUUAGGGUUGUAAAGCUCUUUUACCCGGGAUGAUAAUGACAGUACCGGGAGAAUAAGCUCCGGCUAACUCCGUG